GACGAGGUGACCGAGUGGUUAAGGUGUUUGACUGCUAAUCAAAUGUGCUCUGCACGCGUGGGUUCGAAUCCCAUCCUCGUCG
rfam:Orchesella cincta Ocin01_Sc1255, whole genome shotgun sequence.